rnacentral:rRNA from 1 species
UACGUAGGGUGCGAGCGUUAAUCGGAAUUACUGGGCGUAAAGCGUGCGCAGGCGGUGAUGUAAGACAGUUGUGAAAUCCCCGGGCUCAACCUGGGAACUGCAUUCAAAACUGUCGAGCUAGAGUAUGGUAGAGGGUGGUGGAAUUUCCUGUGUAGCGGUGAAAUGCGUAGAUAUAGGAAGGAACACCAGUGGCGAAGGCGACCACCUGGACCUGUACUGACGCUCAUGCACGAAAGCGUGGGGAGCAAACAGG